rnacentral:rRNA from 1 species
GAGUUUGAUCCUGGCUCAGGAUGAACGCUGGCGGCGUGCCUAAUACAUGCAAGUCGAGCGAACAGAUAAGGAGCUUGCUCCUUUGACGUUAGCGGCGGACGGGUGAGUAACACGUGGGUAACCUACCUAUAAGACUGGAAUAACUCCGGGAAACCGGGGCUAAUGCCGGAUAAUAUUUAGAACCGCAUGGUUCUAAAGUGAAAGAUGGUUUUACUAUCACUUAUAGAUGGACCCGCGCCGUAUUAGCUAGUUGGUGGGGUAAUGGCUUACCAAGGCAACGAUACGUAGCCGACCUGAGAGGGUGAUCGGCCACACUGGAACUGAGACACGGUCCAGACUCCUACGGGAGGCAGCAGUAGGGAAUCUUCCGCAAUGGGCGAAAGCCUGACGGAGCAACGCCGCGUGAGUGAUGAAGGUCUUCGGAUCGUAAAACUCUGUUAUUAGGGAAGAACAAAUGUGUAAGUAACUGUGCACGUCUUGACGGUACCUAAUCAG